rnacentral:antisense_RNA from 1 species
UUUGUGGUUCCAAAAGCAGUUUUAUUUUUCUUCUUGUAAAUCAUGACCAGUGAGAAAUAAUGCGUGCCCCCCCCCAGUGAAGAAGCUGUGCAUAAGUAUCCCACCCGCUCCGGGGCCCAGAAAUCCCAUCUCUUCCCAUCUCCUCCCCCACUGUCCCAAACUCUUCAUCUCCUCUCUCUGCCCUGGGCAGCCUUGGGCCUUCCCCAGCUAUCUCCUAGCAACAGGCCCAUGGUUGCCUCAGCAACCAAGAGUUCCAUACAGGCCUCAGAGGAGAAAUUUUGGGAAGUACAGGAGACACCGAAAGAAAAGAAAAGGCACAACUUCCUGGGUGUGUGCAGAAUUGGGUCGAAGCUGUCAGAUUCGCUGGGUUGGAGGCACAAGUGGAGCACACGCAGUAAGGUUUGGGGCUCACUCCG